CACGAAGGGGACUAGCGUUGUUCGGAAUUACUGGGCGUAAAGCGCACGUAGGCGGAUUUGUUAGUCAGGGGUGAAAUCCCGGGGCUCAACCUCGGAACUGCCUUUGAUACUGCAAAUCUCGAGUCCGAUAGAGGUGGGUGGAAUUCCUAGUGUAGAGGUGAAAUUCGUAGAUAUUAGGAAGAACACCGGUGGCGAAGGCGGCCCACUGGAUCGGUACUGACGCUGAGGUGCGAAAGCGUGGGGAGCAAACAGG
rnacentral:rRNA from 1 species